GUACCCGAAGCGGCUGACCGCGCAGGGGGAUCUCAGCGCGUGCACUCUGAAACAACGCUGCCCACACGAAGAGCACCCCGAUGACGUCAGUGCCACAAUGAAUAGAGGUCUCUCACGCAAUCUUUGAAGGAGUCUGUCCCCCACCAUGCCGCUGGUGUUGGACGCCUUGUGGGCGCUGUGGAGCAUCGGCGCCGGCGUCUACGACUACUUCCACACCAGCGCCAUGGAGGAGCGGAUCCACGCGCUGGAGAACGUGCUCUCCAUCCACCAGUUUGUGAUCGCCGGCCUGUCGGCGGGCCUCGUGCUGCUGGUCACCUACGUCCUGUGGAGGAGACACUGAAGACCCUCGGGACCUCCUCCACCCAGGAGCUCCUCCAUUCAGGAGCUCCUCCAACCUGGAGCUCCUCCUUCUCCAGAGGAGACACUCUGGACCAGGACGUCCCAAAAUGCGGUCGGGAGCCCCGAUGGGGCACGAGGACUCUGUGGACCCGGUCCGGUGCUCUGUUGGGUUCUGGACUGUGUGGGUCGGUUCUCUCCGUACGUCUAACACGAAACACUUUGAGGUCUCUGAGAAGGAGACAUCUAGUCCUCUUCCUGGUUCCUUACUGACCGAUACUGUACUAACGUGUGUCAGGUCAUCCACGUCCGACUCUGAGAUGAUCGUCUAAUUCUCUGGAGACUUGUUGUCUCCACCUGGAGGUAACGAAGGUUACAUGAGCCACGUGGAAACACAGAAGAAAUGUAGAUGCAUCUCCAGCGUUGGUAUUUAACUAAACACAACUAAGUUUACCAAUUACUUAAAGAAAAUAAAAAGUCAAGUGCUAUUUUUAUUAAUUUAUAAUGAAGUAAUUUCUUCCCUAAUAGAGUUCAACAUCCUGAAAACAUGUUUUUCCUCUUUUAAAGUCGGGUGCACAUCAUCUCACAGAGAGAGAGAGAGAGAAGGGGGGGGGGGGAAGGGAGAGAGAGAUAAUUUCAGGUGAAAGAAGCACUCUUUGGAAGUUUAAAUUAAUUCAUCCUUCCUUGUGAUUUAGUUUAUUUUUUAGGGUGAGGAGAUGGAGUCAAGUGUGUGUGUGUGUUGUGUAUGUGUGUGUGUGUGAUGUUUUCUGUUCUAUUGCUCUGAUGAACCAUGAUGGCUUCUGUUAAUUAAAGGGAAUAUGUUUGAAUAAUA